UGCCUACGGGACGCAGCAGUGAGGAAUAUUGGUCAAUGGCCGCAGGGCUGAACCAGCCAAGUCGCGUGAGGGAUGACGGUCCUAUGGAUUGUAAACCUCUUUUGUCAGGGAGCAGAGGGCGCCACGUGUGGCGCUUUGCGAGUACCUGAAGAAAAAGGAUCGGCUAACUCCGUGCCAGCAGCCGCGGUAAUACGGAGGAUGCGAGCGUUAUCCGGAUUUAUUGGGUUUAAAGGGUGCGUAGGCGGUCCGUUACGUCAGCGGUAAAAU
rnacentral:rRNA from 1 species